UUUACAUUUGCUUUUUUAUUUGCUUACUUUGUUGAAAUGAAAGAAAUUUGAAAUUUACUAACAUGGAGACCAUAAGGAGGAGACUGCAGGACAAAAUUUGAUUUGGACUUGAUGUCGAUGCAAUUUGUGCAUGGAUUAUCUUGGGAGUGCCUCUUAAAUUGAAGAGAUGGAAGAUUCUUCUUGAGAACUUGUCGCGGUCUUGGGCAUGGACAUAAUAUAAAAAUACUACAAAUAAAUGUUCAAUUAUUGCGAACGAAUCGUGUAGGAUUUUAAAAAACCACAAGCUUCUAGAAUCAAUUUUUAAAAAAGGUAUUUUUGUCAUUACUAAAAACAAUCAGGUCUCAGGUAUAAUUAUUAUUGGGUAAACACCAAUAUUUUUCAAUUCAAUUCAUUGUUUAAAAACCUUAUUUAAUGUUACUUUUUGAUUGCAACAAUUUAAUUGCAAUGAAUGCCUAAUUAGCAAAUUGUACCUACAUAUAAAGUCAAAUUCAUGUAGUGGAACAAGGAUUAACAAUAGCCUUUUUAUCGUCUAUAGUCUAAGGACCCAGCUACCAGCACUCUACGCCUUAGUGUAUAUCAUAUCAAGUGUUAUAAAAUAAAAAUAAAUAAAUAAUUGUGUCUGGAAA